rnacentral:rRNA from 1 species
AAUGAACGCUGGCGGCGUGCGUAACACAUGCAAGUCGAACGUGAAAGUCCCCUUCGGGGGAUGAGUAAAGUGGCAAACGGGUGAGUAACACGUGGGUAACCUGCCCUCUGGUGGGGGAUAACCCUGCGAAAGCGGGGCUAAUACCGCAUAACAAGUCGCUAAAUAAUUAGUCGACUUCAAAGCCUUCGGGCGCUAGAGGAGGGGCCCGCGUCCCAUUAGCUAGUUGGUAGGGUAACGGCCUACCAAGGCUGCGAUGGGUAGCCGGCCUGAGAGGGUGUCCGGCCACACUGGAACUGAGACACGGUCCAGACUCCUACGGGAGGCAGCAGUGGGGAAUUUUGCGCAAUGGGCGAAAGCCUGACGCAGCGACGCCGCGUGGGUGAUGAAGUUCUUCGGAACGUAAAGCCCUGUCAGGAGGGACGAAGCUCUGACGGUACCUCCAAAGGAAGCCCGGCUAACUCCGUG